AUUGUCAUUGGGAAUAUUUUCCCCGCUGUGAUAUUGAGUGGUUUCUUUGCACAGACCAUAAUUACUACCAAGUUUCUUGCUGCUUUUGGCUCUAGAGUAUACCAUACACAUUCAUACGUAGUGCUAUGUACCUCUUCACACUAAAAAAAUACAUUAUAUAGUAAUUAAUUGAUGAAAAAUGACUAAAUCAGUCUAAUGAAGACAAAAUAAAAUUAAUUAUUUAAAUUAUAUUAUUUUAUUAUACAGAAAUGAUAAACAUUUGAUUUAUUUAGAAUUGAUUGUAUUGACACAUGCACAUAUAGCCAAGCACGCAUACACAAAUGUAAAAAAUAUAGUUUUUAAAAAUUAUAAUAUAAGCUGAGAUUUAUAAUGCUUGUUUUCUCCAACGCGGUCAGAAUUUUGAAUCAACCAUUCCAAAAAUAUUUUAUUGUUUUUCGUCCCUGACUACUGUUGGUUAAAUGACAACGUGCAUUUGGCUCAAUGCUAAAUAUAAACCCGUUUUAAGGUCACAAAUAGAAACUUUUCAGAAAAAUAAGUAGUUGCAUACGAGUAUUUCCGGCUAGUAAUGACGUAUUUACUUUAAGUGAUAUAAACGUACUGUGUGUAAAUUUGAGAUGUAAAAAUGUACAUUCAGUUAUGAGUACAAAAACUCGUUUAGCACUCACAUUGCACAUUUUGAAACCCCAUCACUCUUUAAAUAUUGUAAUAAUUAUUAUAUAAUAAAAAACCAAAAGUAAAAGACGUAAAAAAGACAUUGUAUUGGAAACUUUUGAUGUAAAUUUAAUGGAAAUUGUGAAUACUUGAAAAUAACAUAUCCCUUGUUCAUCGAUUGAAAAACGAAUAGGGGAUGGUGGAGCAAGAAAGAAUUCAGGAGGUAAGACAAGGGGGUGUUCCCUACAUCGCGUGAUUUGAAUUUACGAUCGAGCAUAUGUGUUAAUGGUAGCCUCUCGGUUAUUGACAGAGAUCCACAAGCCAGCAAUGUUGGCAGCUGCAUUAUUAAGUUAGAUUAUAUAUUUUUUUGCAAUUUUCUUAUGACUUUAUCUCACUUUUUUACUCGUAAUAUUUUUAUUAAAUUAUAAUAAUUCUUUUGUGAAUGCGUGUGCUUCACAGACAAAAUUGAAUAAGCUGCAAUAUAAACUGUUAUUUUCUACUUUUGUAAACAGUGGAAAAUCAUUUCGAUCACACGAGAACGGGCAAGAGUGGCGAAGAAGAAAGUAGUGUAACAGCGUGCAAAAAGAUCGCGCAUCUAUGUGGCAAUCAACCAUCAACACAGAGCGCAAUUUUUUUCUUUGGACAGUCAAUUUGCAUGUGUACAAUCGAGUUGUAUUCUAGGAGUCUUACGCCUGUUAACAUCACUAAAAACUAUAUCGCUGCGUAAUCUGUUGAACAACAAAAUCAGAUAAAUUAUAUGGGUGUUUAACUGAACACAAUUUACAAGAACUCUGGAUUAAACCGCAUAGGAGAAAACGGGCAAGUUAAAGAUAAAUAAUACAUUAUAUUACUUUAAACAAUCACACAUAUGUGUAUUAUACAGUAUAAGCUUCAAUACUGACAUUUAUUAAAUAUUAAAUACAUAAGUUAAAAAGA